GAAACUGUUGGUAGAUUUAUAUAAUGGUCUACUAUAUAGCAGUGAAUGAAUAUCCUAGCGCUCUGUGAAACAACCUGGAUUAAUUUCAGUGUUCAGAGUGUGAGGUGUGAGACAAGUCCUUCAGUUCAAGAGUGUAUUUAGGAAGUAAUCCCAGGAAGCAGAAAUGGGAAUGAGCAAAAAAGGAAGAAAAGUCAAUAAAAGGUGCAGUAUGGAGCUACUUACCACUGUGAACCCAUUGGGAACACUCGGAGGAAUCAUGUCGAAUACAGCUCAGAGCUGAAGGCCUUCCUGAUGCGCUUGCCUGCUCCCUGGUCUCUCUGCAUGGGGAAGUAGUGUUCCCAGCUUGCAAACUCCAGCUUUGCCUGUGAGGGGAACAAGCGUCCCUGAUCCAGAAGGUGGUGAGUCCUCCCCUCUCUCUUCAUGCUUUUUAGUCCUUUAACUUUCUCAGGA
rnacentral:sRNA from 1 species